rnacentral:rRNA from 1 species
UGAAAUUAAUCUCCCCGUGAAGAAGCGGGGAUACUCAUAUAAGACGAGAAGACCCCAUGGAGCUUCAAACCCAACUACACCCCUAGCUCUUAUAGCCCCACAACCCCCCUAGGCACCGUGUGCUUGGUUUUAGGUUGGGGCGACCGCGGAGUACAAUAAAACCUCCACAAUGAAUGGGAACACCCCCUUAUCUGAGGGCCACACCCCCUAAGAAUUAGAACACUAACAUAAAAUGAUCCAUUACUUGAUCAAUGAACCAAGUUACCCUGGGGAUAACAGCGCAAUCCAUUUCAAGAGCCCCUAUCGACAAAUGGGUUUACGACCUCGAUGUUGGAUCAGGGUACCCCAGUGGUGCAGCAGCUACUAACGGUUCGUUUGUUCAACGAUUAAAACCCU